UCGGUUUAUACGAGAGAGAAAAGAACACGGUGCUUUCAGAUACUCACUGAACUUUGUGCGAUUAAGGUGAUUAUUGUAGUUGCUCUUAUCAAGAGAGAAAAAUGAAUAAGUUUCCGAGUGCACUUGGCGCUGGUGGAGAGGAACUUCCGCUGCGCCCCCUGCUGUACACGGCCGGAGCUGCAGCCACCGCAGCCGACAUUUACGAUUAUGUGAAACGAGGCGAUGGAAUGAAAACAACAUCGGACCCCGAGGUCACAACUGAAGACCCAGUGUGCGACCAGGCCACGGAACCGGCUCUGCUCCACCCCACAGAGGUUCCUCAGAACCAGGAGGGUUUGGCAGUUAUGAAGGAGGAAGAAAUGAAGUUUGUACUCCAGCUGGAGGAGAGAGUGAGGGAGCUGGAGGAACUGCUCUGUGAGGCACGCAGGGAUGACAUGGAAAGCAAGGUCUCCCUGGCUGAAGCUGAGGAGAAACACCGGAAGGCUGAGGAGACCAUUGCUCAGCUGGAGGUGGAGAAGUCUGGCCUGAAGGACCAGGUGGAGACACUGUGUGGAACAGUGCAGGACAUGGGGAGCCUGCUCCAUACUGUUGAGGUGGAGAAGUCUGAACUGAAGGACCAGGUGGAGAUACUGCGUGGAACAGUGCACGUCAUGGGGAACCUUCUCCAUGCUGUUGAGGUGGAGAAGUCUGACCUGAAGGACCAGGUGGAGAUACUGCAUGGAACAGUGCAGGACAUGGGGAGCCAGCUCCAUGUUGUCGAGGUGGAGAAGUCUGAACUGAAGGACCAGGUGGAGAUACUGCGUGGAACAGUGCAGGACAUGAGGAGCCUGCUCCAUGCUGUUGAGGUGGAGAAGUCUGACCUGAAGGACCAGGUGGAGACACUGCGUGGGAUAGUGCAGCACAGGAGGAGCCAGCUCCAUGCUGUCGAGUUGGAGAAGUCUGACCUGAAGGACCAGGUAGAGAUACUGCGUGGAACAGUGCAGGACAUGGGGAGCCAGCUCCAUGUUGUUGAGGUGGAGAAGUCUGAACUGAAGGACCAGGUGGAGACACUGCAUGGAACAGUCCAGGAGAUGAGGAGCCUGCUCCAUGCUGUUGAGGUGGAGAAGUCUGAACUGAAGGAUCAGGUGGAGACACUGCGUGGAACAGUGCAGCACAUGGGGAACCUGCUCCAUGUUGUUGAGGUGGAGAAGUCUCAACUGAAGGACCAGGUGGAGACACUGCGUGGAACAGUGCAGGUCAUGGAGAACCUGCUCACUGAGAUUCACAGGGAGUGUGACAAGCUAAUGAAUGAGCUUCAGGUGAUGAAUGAUGAGAUGAAGAAGAGGCUGAUACGCACAGAGGAGUUACUGAAGGUCUCCCUGCCUGAAGCUGAGGAGAAACACCAGAAGGCUGAGGAGACCAUCGCUCAACUGGAGGUGGAGAAGCCUGACCUGACCAACCAGGUGGAGUCACGGCAAGAGAGUGUGCAGCACAUGGAGGACCUGCCAACUGAGACUCACAGGAUCAGUAAGGCAUUUUUAAGGGACAUCUGCAAGCGGAACAAGCUGUACCGGACCCCCAGCUUAAACGACAUGCUGCCUCUCCACUAUAAAGGUAUCAGCAUAAUCGAGGGUCUGGAGGAGUACACCGGCCUGCGCUGUCUCUAUCUCCAGGGCAAUGCGAUACGGAAACUUGAGAACCUGCAGAACCAGACGGAAUUGCGAUGUCUUUUCAUCCACCAGAACCUCAUCCACACACUCGAGAACCUGGAGCCGCUCACCAAACUCAACACACUCAAUGUGUCAAACAAUUACAUCAGGGUCAUCCAGAACAUCUCCUGCCUGAGCGAGCUGUCCACGUUCCAGAUUUCAAAUAAUCUACUGGAGAGUGUGAGCGAUUUGCAGGAGCUGUGUCACUGCCCCUCCAUCAGAGUUCUGGACCUGUCAAAUAACUGCCUCAAUGACCCAGAAAUCCUCACUGUACUGGAGAAGAUGCCCAAUCUGAGCGUGUUAAACCUGAUGGGUAAUGAUGUCGUCAGGAAAAUUCCUGACUACAGGAAGUCGCUAAUCCUUCGUCUGAAGCAGUUGCAGUGCCUGGACGACCAUCCCGUGUUUCCUAAGGAGAGGGCCUUUGCAGAGGCUUGGGCCGUGGGAGGUAUGGAAGGAGAACGUAAGGAAAGAGAUUUAUGGCAAACAAGAGAAAGGAGGAAGAUUGAGGAGAGUCUGGAUGCCUUGAGACUCCUUGAAGAAAACACACUGGAGCGAAGACGAGCUCGAGAGCAGCAGCAGCAGGAGGAGAAUGUCAGUGUUUCAGGAACGUCCGAGACUGUAGAAGGUCAGAACGUGUCCGGUGAAGACCUCGAGCAGACCGAGCAAGAGCAGGAGGAGGAGGAAGAGGAGGAGGAGGAGGAGGAGGACAUCCAGGUCGCAAUAAAAGUAACAUCAGGGAGGAAUGAGAAGAGCCGUUUCAUCUGAAACUCCAUCUGCAUUACACUCAUGCACCAAAGAAACUCCUUUUAAAAUUGCGGCAAAAAUCUUUCCACAUUUUCUACUGUUAGAACCUGGAACCAAAAUGGACGUCGAAUGUUUUAGCUCGCUAAACGAACAGUUCAACAUCAUUAGCAUGUUUUUGUCCGUAGCUGAGUUCAUGCCUGAUGUCCCUGAUCUGGACGAUCUGGAUGCCGUCGACAUGGAAACAGUGCCGAAGGAACAAAUCCUGAUUGAGGAGCUGAACUGAUGAUGUUUAUUCAA